AAAAGAAGGUAAUAUUUAACAGCCCAAGUAUAACACAAUGGCAGCAGAGCUAUUCAGAAAGCGACAAUAACGAUGAUAUAUUUGAAACAAAGCGGUUCACGUUAUAUUUGAUAGCUGGAAAUUUAAAGCACUCCGGAGGAUGAUACACAAAAGUUUCAAUAUUUAUUUUCCCCCGUUGGACCGUCCUUUGCAAAAAUGAAAACGCUACGAAAACUUGUUUUAUCCUACUUUAUUCGACUUGCUUUGGGACCCACUAAACUGUUAAGUUGUCCGAAAAGUGUUUUUCUUUGCG
rnacentral:misc_RNA from 1 species